rnacentral:rRNA from 1 species
CGAAAGCCUGACGGAGCAACGCCGCGUGUGGGAAGAAGGCUCUUGGGCUGUCAACCACUUUUCUCAGGGAAGAAGAUCUGACGGUACCUGAGGAAUCAGCCUCGGCUAACUCCGUGCCAGCAGCCGCGGUAAUACGGAGGAGGCAAGCGUUAUCCGGAAUCAUUGGGCGUAAAGCGUUCGUAGGCGGCUGUUCAAGUCUGCUGUCAAAGACCGAGGCUCAACCUCGGGUCGGCAGUGGAAACUGGAUAGCUAGAGGUAGGUAGGGGCAAAGGGAAUUCCCGGUGUAGCGGUGAAAUGCGUAGAUAUCGGGAAGAACACCAGAGGCGAAAGCGUUCUGCUGGGCCGCGCCUGACCCUGAGGGACGAAAGCCAGGGGAGCG